rnacentral:rRNA from 1 species
GACGAACGCUGGCGGCGUGCUUAACACAUGCAAGUCGAACGGAAAGGCCCUGCUUGCAGGGUACUCGAGUGGCGAACGGGUGAGUAACACGUGGGUGAUCUGCCCUGCACUUCGGGAUAAGCCUGGGAAACUGGGUCUAAUACCGGAUAGGAGCCAUUUUUAGUGUGAUGGUUGGAAAGUUUUUUCGGUGUAGGAUGAGCUCGCGGCCUAUCAGCUUGUUGGUGGGGUAAUGGCCUACCAAGGCGGCGACGGGUAGCCGGCCUGAGAGGGUGGACGGCCACAAUGAGACUGAGAUACGGCCGAGACGCCUACGGGAGGCAGCAGAGGAGAAUAUUGCACAAUGAGCGCAGGACUGAUGCAGCGACGCCGCGUGGAGGAUGACGGCCUUCGGGUUGUAAACUCCUUUCGCUAGGGACGAAGCUUUUUAUGACGGUACCUAGAUAAGAAGCACCGGCUAACUACGUG